UCUAGGGCGUCAAGGAACACUUCUAUUGCCUAUGSUAYSGYGGAGCGGYCGGCCUGYCUUCCGCUYCCCGCGCAGSGACGAUAUYUUAAUCCWCACGACUCUYGGCAACGGAUAUYUCSGCUYUCGCAUCGWUGAAGAACGUAGCAAAAUGCGAUACCUGGUGUGAAUUGCAGAAUCCCGCSAACCAUYGAGUUUUUGAACGCAAGUUGCKCCCGAGGCCUUCUGGUCGAGGGCACGUCUGCCUGGGCGUCACGCCAAAAGACACUCCCAACCCACCCUCGGGGAGGGACGUGGUGUUUGGACCCCCGCGCCGCAGGGCGCGGUGGGCCGAAGUUGGGGCUGCCGGCGAACCGUGYCGGGCACAGCACGUGGUGGGCGACAUCAGUUGUUCUCGGUGCAGCGCCCCGGCGCGCGGCCGGCGCGUCGGCCCUAAGGACCCAUCGAGCACCGCAGCGCAUUGAUUUAAUUUACGUGUCAACUGUGCAGUGCAUUUUACUGUUGGUCGUUUUAAGGCUCCAAGCUUUCUCUUCUUUAAUUUGCUACUGACAUCUGCUACUUUGAUUGUGAUGGGAGGCCCACUUUGCCCA
rnacentral:rRNA from 1 species